UACAAAGGGGGCUAGCGUUGCUCGGAAUCACUGGGCGUAAAGCGCACGUAGGCGGCUUUUUAAGUCAGAGGUGAAAUCCUGGAGCUCAACUCCAGAACUGCCUUUGAUACUGGAGAGCUUGAGUCCGGGAGAGGUGAGUGGAACUGCGAGUGUAGAGGUGAAAUUCGUAGAUAUUCGCAAGAACACCAGUGGCGAAGGCGGCUCACUGGCCCGGUACUGACGCUGAGGUGCGAAAGCGUGGGGAGCAAACAGG
rnacentral:rRNA from 1 species